UACGGGGGGAGCAAGCGUUGUUCGGAUUUACUGGGCGUAAAGGGCGCGUAGGCGGCCAGCACAAGUCAGUUGUGAAAUCUCCGGGCUUAACUCGGAAAGGUCAACUGAUACUGUGCGGCUAGAGUGCAGAAGGGGCAACUGGAAUUCUCGGUGUAGCGGUGAAAUGCGUAGAUAUCGAGAGGAACACCUGCGGCGAAGGCGGGUAGCUGGGCCGACACUGACGCUGGAUGCGCGAAAGCCAGGGGAGCGAACGGG
rnacentral:rRNA from 1 species